GUGAAUCAUCGAAUCUUUGAACGCAAAUUGCACUCCCUGGUAUUCCGGGGAGUAUGCCUGUUUGAGGGUCGUUAGAAUAAAAAAUCGAGGCGUCGCUCUUUUUUUUUAAGUGUGAUCUCGUCGGAAUUGAGCCGUCUUUCAAAUGUUAAUUCAUGUCAAAGUUGCUUGAAAUUCAUCCAUCCUGUACGAUUAAAGCGUAUUUAAGGUCAAUCUUGAUUAAGAACCUCCGCUG
rnacentral:misc_RNA from 1 species